AGCCCCGAGGUGAUUCCACACUAGAGUGCAAAUCUAGAGACGUACACCCCACGGUGUACCAGGGCUU
rnacentral:tRNA from 1 species